GGUAUAGGGGACUUUUGGGAUAGCAUUUGAAAUGUAAAUGAAGAAAAUAUCUAAUAAAAAAUAUGAAAAAAAAAGAAAACUACAACUCUUGUAAAGAAACUUCAACUGUGUCAAAACCUGUCCCAGUAAUUGUCAGUUAGACAGUUCAAUGAGCAUCAUCUUACUCUUUCCCAAGAGAGUGCAUAGAAAGUUAUGAAAUGUUGGAUACAAAAGAAAAAAGACUGUCAAAUUGAUGCUUUCAAAAACAUUUUUGAAAGAUUCUAUGGACAUUUCCUCCUGGUUAUGAAACAGUUAAUUUAGGGCACUGCAUGCUACCAGAACUGACCCACCUCUUGAACCCUAGGAUCCACAAUGCAAUGCUGUGCUUGCUUGGUAGCCAUAUUAGCUGCAAGAAGGACUGGACAGGAUUCAGUGUCAGUAUUCAGAAUGGUUCCUAUACCAGCAGCUGACCAAGUUCUUUCCUGUACUGGGCAGAUAGGUAUCAGUUGGUAAAGGCAUGCUUUAGUCCAGAGAAGUACCUAGCUGCCUCAUGCAUAGAGCAACUCAUGAUACUAAGGAAGAGUUCCAACAAUUUUGGAUGAGAGUCAGCCAUCUUGUUCCCCUUCUAGGUAUGUUUCUGAUAUCCACACUUGAGCCUUCCUUCUUGUUAAGCUUCCUAUGGUCUGUGAGUUGUAUCAUGGGUAUUCUGAGCUUUUUGGCUAAUAUCCACUUAUCAGUGAGUACAUAGCAUCAGGGGAGGAAGAAGGAAGGAGGAAACAGUGUGGGAGAGGCGAGGGAGGGGAAAAAAAGGAGAGGCAGGGUUAAGUAUGGGAGGGAAAGACAGUAGGGAUACCCAGAGGGCCAGGAGAAUGAAUUGAAAUAUGCAGCAGUGGGGGUUAAGAGGCAGGAGGAACCUCUAGAAAGUCUCAGAGACCUAGGAUAUGAGUGCCUCCCAGGACUCAACGGGGAUGAUAUUAGCUGAAAUGCCCCACUGUGGGGAGAUGGAACCGGAAAGACCAUUUCCAGUUGAUAGGGCCCCCUAGUUGAGGAAGGGGGCCACCCACCCAUCUUCAAAAUUUUUAAUCCAGUAUUGUUCCUGUCUAAAUAUAAUGCAGGGACAAAAAUAGAGCAAAAACU
rnacentral:lncRNA from 1 species